UGAACGCGGCGGCAUGCCUUACACAUGCAAGUCGAACGGCAGCGGGGAGAAGCUUGCUUCUCCUGCCGGCGAGUGGCGAACGGGUGAGUAAUACAUCGGAACGUGCCCUGUAGUGGGGGAUAACUAGUCGAAAGAUAAGCUAAUACCGCAUACGACUGAGGGUGAAAGUGGGGGACCGCAAGGCCUCAUGCUAUAGGAGCGGCCGAUGUCUGAUAGCUAGUUGGUGAGGUAAAGGCUCACCAAGGCGACGAUCAGUAGCUGGUCUGAGAGGACGAUCAGCCACACUGGGACUGAGACACGGCCCAGACUCCUACGGGAGGCAGCAGUGGGGAAUUUUGGACAAUGGGCGAAAGCCUGAUCCAGCAAUGCCGCGUGUGUGAAGAAGGCCUUCGGGUUGUAAAGCACUUUUGUCCGGAAAGAAAUCGCACUUACUAAUACUAGGUGUGGAUGACGGUACCGGAAGAAUAAGGACCGGCUAACUACGUGCCAGCAGCCGCGGUAAUACGUAGGGUCCGAGCGUUAAUCGGAAUUACUGGGCGUAAAGCGUGCGCAGGCGGUUGUGCAAGACCGAUGUGAAAUCCCCGGGCUUAACCUGGGAAUUGCAUUGGUGACUGCACGGCUAGAGUGUGUCAGAGGGGGGUAGAAUUCCACGUGUAGCAGUGAAAUGCGUAGAGAUGUGGAGGAAUACCGAUGGCGAAGGCAGCCCCCUGGGAUAACACUGACGCUCAUGCACGAAAGCGUGGGGAGCAAACAGGAUUAGAUACCCUGGUAGUCCACGCCCUAAACGAUGUCAACUAGUUGUUGGGGAUUCAUUUCCUUAGUAACGUAGCUAACGCGUGAAGUUGACCGCCUGGGGAGUACGGUCGCAAGAUUAAAACUCAAAGGAAUUGACGGGGACCCGCACAAGCGGUGGAUGAUGUGGAUUAAUUCGAUGCAACGCGAAAAACCUUACCUACCCUUGACAUGCCACUAACGAAGCAGAGAUGCAUUAGGUGCUCGAAAGAGAAAGU
rnacentral:rRNA from 1 species